UCAGGAGGCUGAGCAGGAGAAUCACUUGCAGUGAGCUGAGGUCAUGCCACUGCGCUCCAGCCUGGGCGAUAGAGUGAGACUCCAUCUCAAAAAAAAAGAAAAAGUUAUAUUUCCCAGAGAAAAUAUGGAUAUUUGAAUAAGAAAGGGGUCUAGAAUAAAAAUGGAAUAUGCACGAGGCCUAUGUGAGUAUGGAGAAGGAGAGAGGGACAUACACAGUUGCUAUCCAAAAGGAUCUGGUAUUACUGAGCAAGAGGCAGGAGUUUAUACUUACGUUUAGUUUGACUCAAACUCUGAUGCUUUCAGUAUGCUUGACAGAGAUGUGAGUGUGUGAUACACUCUUAUGAUUGUUUUUUUUCCCCCCCCCCAGCAGCAUCUGGAAUCAAGAGACCCAUGGCAUCUGAGGUGCCUUAUGCCUCUGGCAUGCCCAUCAAGAAAAUAGGCCAUAGAAGUGUUGAUUCCUCAGGAGAGACAACAUAUAAAAAGACAACCUCAUCAGCCUUGAAAGGUGCCAUCCAGUUAGGCAUUACCCACACUGUGGGGAGCCUGAGUACCAAACCAGAGCGUGAUGUCCUCAUGCAAGAUUUCUACGUGGUUGAGAGUAUCUUCUUUCCCAGCGAAGGGAGCAACCUGACCCCUGCUCAUCACUACAAUGACUUUCGUUUCAAGACCUAUGCACCUGUUGCCUUCCGCUACUUCCGGGAGCUAUUUGGUA
rnacentral:sRNA from 1 species